CCUCUUGGGAAGGUCGUCCCACUCGGCCACAGGACGUGAGAACAUCGAACAGAGCUAUGCCCAGGGAAAGGGCUGAGACUGGGGGUAGCGAAUGUGUGGGUGUGACGGAGAAACCGCUCAAAGCCAGUUUCGAAAUGCAGGGUGUUUGCAGAACAUUAGAAAAAACCCUAAAGAGUGGAGAGUGCACAGGUUGGAGGAGUCGGCGGCCCUCACCCACUACAAGCCCAAGCCCGCGGCUCUGCCUUUAACUUCGGACUGAAAAAUCACAGGUCCUGUUUCUGUGGGAGGCCAUCAUGUUUUCUUCACUUGCAAAGCCAUGACAUCAUUGGAAAGGCCUGCUCAGUUAUUUUUUACUCGGCAAAUUUUCUCCUUGGACAAGAAGACUCCAACCAGAUAUAAGACAUUAAAUUUGUAUGUGAUGUUAUAAAGGUCUUGGUGUCAUAUGGGGAUAUAUAAAUUAUCAGAUCAUG